UACGAAGGGGGCUAGCGUUGUUCGGAAUUACUGGGCGUAAAGGGCGCGUAGGCGGUGUGUCAAGUCAGGCGUGAAAGCCCCGGGCUCAACCUGGGAACCGCGCUUGAGACUGGCACGCUAGAGUUCGGGAGAGGGUGGUGGAAUUCCCAGUGUAGAGGUGAAAUUCGUAGAUAUUGGGAAGAACACCGAUGGCGAAGGCAGCCAUCUGGACCGACACUGACGCUGAGGCGCGAAAGCGUGGGGAGCAAACAGG
rnacentral:rRNA from 1 species